UAAAACACCCUGCUCACUGAUUCUUCUAUUAAGCACGAAGAGGACGACAGGCCUGUUCCCCCCACAUACUCGUAAAAGGACUUUGCCAACAACAUGUCACUCAUCUGAGAGCUGCAACGUUCUAUUUCCAGUUAUCUUAAGUACAGCAUAACUUCUGGUGAGAAACACAUAUGGCUACAAAGUGGUAGAAAAUGAAUGGCACCAACUGGCUGGGAGAGAAGGAAAUGCAUCACUCGUGGAAGCAGGGCUGCAUUUUCCAAUAGCCACAUCAUCUUUCACUCUCCAGACAAUACAUAGCAUUUGCCAACCAACUUCCAUGUUACCCUUCUGCAGACAUGUGAGUGAAGCCAGGACACAAAGAUCAGCCUCUUAACAGCACUCUAUUACUGCGAGCAUGAGCCCAGCCCAACAGAAUUCUGCCAACUCAUUAGUGAUUGCUCUAAGAAUUCUUAAAAUGUCAGCAGUUCUAGAGUGGCUCGGGGAUCAUUCCUUAGCUAAACUGCUGUAAGAGUUAAUCCCGACUCCAAGCUGAAGAUGUAAAACAAACUAUAAAGAGACAAUUUCAAGUAAGAUAUAAACACAGGAGAGAGCUACAGCUGUUAAUCACUGUGUGUAAGCGACACGGCUACUUUCAGUUAGCACAGGUAAUUUUUCAUUGCCUUCGUCCUCAAAAGGUUAGAAGCCUGGAGCACAGUGUGAAGUGUGAGAGGGAAGAAGAGAUCAGCAGAUGGGAGAAGGGAAAGAUCCAAGUCAAGGAGAAGCCUCCAUUACUUAGGACUAAUACACAUUAAACAUGAAAUGAACCUAGGUUACUCACUGGGUUGGAUUUGUUUUUCUUUCCUUUGCUGCUUCUCCAUUUCUUUGCUCCCACAAGGUUGUUCUCUGCCUCCAUUAUAGCAGCUCAGGUUCUGCAAUGCAUCCUCAUGCUAAUGCAGAGCCCAGCACAAAAACCAAGACACGGCAACUGGGGCUACUGCAACUUAAGAUCAAGUUGCCACAGCCUCAAUGCACGUGGCAGCAACUGGACAAUAUAAGCAUUUCAACUACUCCUGCUCCUAGACCUGCCACGUCCCUCCCACUAACCCCUUGUAUGCUCUCUGUACCAGGCGUCCCAGUAACAGGUCUUUAGGAAUCCACACCUAGAACGAUGUGGCCUCUGGUGGGACACUACUGAGAGUAUCAGUUCAGGACAAAUUGCUUAGAGCAGGGCAGUCACAGCCCAAAGCUGGGGUUCCUUUACUAUUAAGGCACAGCAAACCAGCCAGACAGAGAGGACUUCAAUUUUACCCCACUGGCUAACCAAAGUCAUACAAGCAAUUCCUUUAGACACUCCAGUUCCCUUGUAUUACCACCAGCACCACUCCUUAUGGGGAUGAAUGAUUAUGAAAACUAAUACCUCAGUAAAAUAAAAAGGUUCCCCAGAUCCCAAAGAGCCAAGCCCCAGACCCAGGUCAAUAUACAAGUCUUACCGACAAAUCAUGCUGUUGCUAACCCUUUAGAAUCUAAAAUCUAAAGGUUUAUUCAUAACAAGAAAAAUAUAGAUGAGAGUUAAAACUGGUCAAAUCGAUCAAAUACAUACAGCAAUGAUAAAGUUCUUGGUUCAGGCUUGUAGCAGUGAUGGAAUAAACUGCAGGCUCAAAUCAAGUCUCUGGAGAACAUCCACAGCUUGAAUGGGUCAUUCAGUCCUUUGUUCAGAGCUUCAGUUCCUCCAGAGGUAAGAAGCAGGAUUGAAGACAAAAUGGAGAAGGAGCAGCUGCCUUUUAUAGUUUCUUGCCAUGCAGCCUGUGCAUCCUUUGUUCCAAACACAAGCUGCCCAGCACAUAGCUUGAAAGCCUUAGCGUUCUCUCCAUAGGCAGGUCCCUGCAUGCCUUGCUGAGUCGGGAGGUGUAUCUGCCUUCUCUCAAAGGGUCAGUUGUAUAGCUGAUGGUCCUUAAUGGGCGAUCAAGCAGGCUAGCAGUGCCGAUGCCAAACUGUCCAGGGUGUCACCCAGAAGCACAGCACAAGUUUGAAAUACGGACAGGAUAGAGCCAAUGCUUAUAGCUUUAAAUGAUACCCGCAUACAGACAGCAUAAUGAUAACCAGCAAAUCAUAACCUUUUCAUAGACACCCCACUUUGUACAAGAUUUGGUGCCACUAUAGGACCUUGGUUGCAACAAUGAUCUAUGCGGUCACAAUUGAUAUUAAUAACGUCACAGUACCAUAUAACCCACUGCCAUCAUUGGCAGAGGUUAGUAGCAGAGGUGCCAAGAGCGGGAGGUACUGAUUGUAUGAUGGGAAGUCUUAAAACCACCAGCUACUUUGUCAGCGUGAGGUUCUAGUUCCUGAAGCAUCAGUAGCCAGGGUGGAUGAGAGAGGUGGGAAAAGAGGGAACAAUUGUACCAGGGCACUGAGCUCAGGGAGCCCCCAAAAAUGUCUAACAUCAAAUGGGAGGGAGUAGGGAUCUGGCAACCAUGAUGUAUGUAUUUCUCUCAACGGGCCUGGAGGUAGCCUUAGCAAUCUCCUGUAAGCUGACGAACUAGGAUCUCAGAGUCUCUCACAGGGCCAAUACAAGGCAUAUAGCCUGUUUGGGCGUACAGAACUAGACAAAAUUUAAGAUGUUAUAUUUCAAAAAGGUUUCAUCUUCACAAGCUGUAAAGCAAUUUUUCUCCACCAAGAUUUUGGUUUCAGAAAAUAAUUUGUGACCUGUAGCCCAGUUCCAGACAAGACAGGUUACUGGGAAUGCCUUGUCUACAGGAAGACAAUUUGCCUGGUUUAGAUCAGCGGUGGAGGAGACCACAUGCCUGAAUUUAUUAUUUUGUUGACGAAUGAGUGUUUGAGAGACUGGCUUUGUUGUGCUAAGGAUUAUUUUUAAGGGGUUAUACUGAAUUUCCCAUCAACGUUUAAGGCAUUUGACCUAGAUAAAACCAUGCCAGCUUCCUCAAAAGUAGCUAGAUUUUCAAUAUCUUUGAGGAGGAGAGGGAGACACAGACCAACAGGUUAUAUGCUAUAGAAAAGGCUGAAUAUUUUUUAAAUUCAAUAUAAAAAUCAAAACCCAUCUCGGAAAAGUCAGGCUCUCAAGCACUCAUCCAUCAAGGAAAUAAAAAUAAAUGCAGACAUCCAAUAAAUGUCAUCUUCUCCCUCAGUUAAACUAAAACCAGAUACAUCUUACACAUAAGGCAAUCUUAAGUGGGACCUAUCGGAGUUGACACUUGAUAACAGUGACUUAAGUCGUACAGCCCCAAAGCAGGCCUCUCGCACCUGAUUUGUCUGGAACCCAUGGAAGCUGCAAGGUGAAGCAAGUGAAAUUCAUAACCCAUAAGAAUCCCAGAUAUGGCAAAGACACCUUGCUGUGUGUGUACAAGCCAUGGGAGGACAGAGUGACAUUUCAUGAUCUCAACUUGGGGAGGUAAGUCCCAACAUCAGACAAUCCAGCCAAUCCAGCUUUCAGCCCUCUCUCUCUGUACCUGAAGGAGGCCCAACAUUUGGCUCCUUGACUACAGUC